CGUCUCGAUUAGACGCAAAUUGUUCAUCUCCGUUUGAGUUCGCAAAAUAACAAUACACGAGUUAUCGUACGGGUGUUUUUUUUGUCGAUUAGUUCUUGUGCUGCGCGAUAGCCUGCAGUUUAUCGGCAGAAACAUCUUCUGCACACUGGUAGGGGCAGGUUACCCCGCCAGUGAUCUGAUACGCAGCUGAUAUAUCAGCACGAAUAAUUCUCCCGCACCGCUGUUACCCCGCUAGCAGCACGGACCACCAUACGAUCGAGCGGGUGGAAGAUGCCUUGUAGAUGCCAACUACAAGUGGCAUCUACAAGGUCGCGUAUAGGAUACGGCCACUGUGUCACAACCAGGGUUGAUAUUUGUUGACACUCUUGAGUGAAAGUGAAAAAAAGCAUCCAUAAACGUUAUUUUUUUACAAUCCUUUCAGAGUUCUCCCUUCCCGCUUUUUGCAUGGAAGUGAACUGUCAAAACACCUCAUUAUAUUUCAUGCGAUGAAAGCAAGACAACAAAAUCAGUUUAUCAGUUAACGAAGAUUGUCAUGGCAUCGGUCAGUGUCAGUGAAAAAGUGUUUCGGUGAGGUUCAUUUUGGUUGAGUGGACUGUUUGUUAUUCUUUUUCGCUUUGAAGUGAAGAUCAUUUGGUUGGUUUUGUCGUUAAAUUUUAUUCCGUAACCGUGAACGAUGCGCGCGAUCUAUUUCAUCUGAGUAUAACAGCACGUUACUAGGACGAAAAUCUAGUGUAUUUGAAAGAGUGCUGCGAUCAUUGGAAGUGAAAAUUGAAAAUGAUUGGCUGUAAUUUUCGAAGAAUUUUGCUGGGGAAAAUGACUUUUAUCAGCACUGGUCACAACACGAAGCUGGAUCAUCAUUGUUUGUUCUGCGGAGACGCUCGAUUAAUCCUACUAUCAGCCGUGAGGUCGUGACUUAGACGUUCGGUAGGUGCCACUGAAUGUAAUAGAAAAUAGUCUAAGAAGAUACUCCUGAAAGUAGGUAUGCUUCGAACUCAAGACCCGUGCUAGGAUUGAAUACCGUAUGGUCGCAUGUACUACUCAUUUAGGUGACAAAAAUUCAGCUAAUAAUAGUUAGGGGUGACAUAGAUGGUGUAUAAUACUGGUCGACAAAAGCAAAAAUAUGUUUCCCUAAAAUUGUGGCAAUUUUAAAUGACCAGAGC